rnacentral:rRNA from 1 species
AGCAGUCGAGAAUUUUUUCUCAAUGGGGGAAACCCUGAAGGAGCGACGCCGCGUGGAGGAUGAAGGUCUUCGGAUUGUAAACUCCCUGUCAUUGGGGAACAAAUCUUCCAAGUAACUACUGGAAGGCUGAUAGUACCUGAAGAGGAAGAGACGGCUAACUCUGUGCCAGCAGCCGCGGUAAUACAGAGGUCUCAACCGUUGUUCGGAUUCAUUGGGCGUAAAGGGUGCGUAGGCGGCGGGGCAAGUCAGGUGUGAAAUCUCGGGGCUUAACCCCGAAACUGCACUUGAUACUGCCUUGCUCGAGUACUGGAGAGGAGACUGGAAUUUACGGUGUAGCAGUGAAAUGCGUAGAUAUCGUAAGGAAGACCAGUGGCGAAGGCGAGUCUCUGGACAGUUACUGACGCUGAGGCACGAAGGCCAGGGGAGCAAACGGGAUUAGAUACCCCGGUAGUCCUGGCAGUAAACGGUGCACGUUUGGUGUGGGAGGAUUCGACCCCUUCCGUGCCGGAGCUAACGCGUUAAACGUGCCGCCUGGGAAGUACGGUCGCAAGAUUAAAACUCAAAGAAAUUGACGGGGGCCCGCACAAGCGGUGGAGUAUGUGGCUUAAUUCGAUGCAACGCGAAGAACCUUACCAGGGUUUGACAUGCAUUGUGUCGGGGAUGAAAGUCCCCUAGCCGUAGCAAUACGGCGCUUUGCACAGGUGCUGCAUGGCUGUCGUCAGCUCGGUCGUA